rnacentral:rRNA from 1 species
GAGUUUGAUCCUGGCUCAGGACGAACGCUGGCGGCGCGCCUAACACAUGCAAGUCGAACGAGCGAGAGGAAGCUUGCUUUCUCAAGCGAGUGGCGAACGGGUGAGUAACGCGUGAGGAACCUGCCUCAAAGAGGGGGACAACAGUUGGAAACGACUGCUAAUACCGCAUAAGCCCACAGCUCGGCAUCGAGCAGAGGGAAAAGGAGCAAUCCGCUUUGAGAUGGCCUCGCGUCCGAUUAGCUGGUUGGUGAGGUAACGGCCCACCAAGGCAACGAUCGGUAGCCGGACUGAGAGGUUGAACGGCCACAUUGGGACUGAGACACGGCCCAGACUCCUACGGGAGGCAGCAGUGGGGAAUAUUGCACAAUGGGGGAAACCCUGAUGCAGCGACGCCGCGUGGAGGAAGAAGGUCUUCGGAUUGUAAACUCCUGUUGUUGAGGAAGAUAAUGACGGUACUCAACAAGGAAGUGACGGCUAACUACGUGCCAGCAGCCGCGGUAAAACGUAGGUCACAAGCGUUGUCCGGAAUUACUGGGUGUAAAGGGAGCGCAGGCGGGAAGGCAAGUUGGAAGUGAAAUCCAUGGGCUCAACCCAUGAACUGCUUUCAAAACUGUUUUUCUUGAGUAGUGCAGAGGUAGGCGGAAUUCCCGGUGUAGCGGUGGAAUGCGUAGAUAUCGGGAGGAACACCAGUGGCGAAGGCGGCCUACUGGGCACCAACUGACGCUGAGGCUCGAAAGUGUGGGUAGCAAACAGGAUUAGAUACCCUGGUAGUCCACACUGUAAACGAUGAUUACUAGGUGUUGGAGGAUUGACCCCUUCAGUGCCGCAGUUAACACAAUAAGUAAUCCACCUGGGGAGUACGACCGCAAGGUUGAAACUCAAAGGAAUUGACGGGGGCCCGCACAAGCAGUGGAGUAUGUGGUUUAAUUCGACGCAACGCGAAGAACCUUACCAAGUCUUGACAUCCUGCGACGCACAUAGAAAUAUGUGUUUCCUUCGGGACGCAGAGACAGGUGGUGCAUGGUUGUCGUCAGCUCGUGUCGUGAGAUGUUGGGUUAAGUCCCGCAACGAGCGCAACCCUUAUGGUCAGUUACUACGCAAGAGGACUCUGGCCAGACUGCCGUUGACAAAACGGAGGAAGGUGGGGAUGACGUCAAAUCAUCAUGCCCUUUAUGACUUGGGCUACACACGUACUACAAUGGCGUUAAACAAAGAGAAGCAAGACCGCGAGGUGGAGCAAAACUCAGAAACAACGUCCCAGUUCGGACUGCAGGCUGCAACUCGCCUGCACGAAGUCGGAAUUGCUAGUAAUCGCAGAUCAGCAUGCUGCGGUGAAUACGUUCCCGGGCCUUGUACACACCGCCCGUC